CAGCUGCAAGCCAUUUUCAUCCAACACCCAAGAAGAUAACUACCCCUGAAGCACAAACAUUAGGCUAAUCGGCCUUGAUAAUGGGAACGGACUAAGUUGGAUGAGAAGGUCUGUGGUUGCAGGCACAAAGGUCUCAAAACAAGUGGGGCUCGCUCCCCUGCUGUAACUCCCACACUCUGCACGCCUCGGGCAACCUCCACUGCUUGCACUGGCCUCGCCAUUAUAAAGCCUUCAUGGGAACCAGAACCAGUGCUGGCAGUGCGGCAGGGGUGGGGGGGCAUUCCAUUCUCCUUGGCACGUCUUCGGCUUGUAAUCUGCUCAACACCAGACUUCACACACACCGUGGGACGCAUCGCCUGGAAUCCUCCAAGUUUCGACAGUUUGUGUGUGAAUUUACUAAACAUGUUGCCCUAAGAGGAUCUCCACCCUUAGAUACACCAUAAAAUAUUAUAUAAAAUAAAUCAGCAAUUCCAGGUGUUAUUUUUUGAUGCAGCAGACGGUUUGAAAUGUACUUCCAUCUGCAGCGAUUUGGUUAAUGAUUUCACUUUCAAGAGCCUUACAUCAAACCGAACCUCUUAGUUAAAAUGAAAACAUGUCUUUCUCCGUCAAUGGAUUUCUCCCUGUGUGAAUGUAAAACAUCAAAGCGCAAAAACCAAAGGUCAAGAAAACCAAACAAUUUCUCUUUCCGGAAGGAUCGAGGACAAAUCACGUACUUUUUUAAUGUCUGAAAGGUUUUCAGUUUUUAAUAUGUUGACUGAUGUGUUUGGGUUGGUGAAAAACAACUCAACUAAUUGUAAAUAUAUCAAUUGAUGUGGUGGAUACACAACACGCCUCCAUUUUUUUACACACAAAUCUGUGAUUCAUCCAUAUUUUAUGAUCUGAAAUGGAAAUAGAAUUCUAUUCAGGUUUUAGAAUGGAGCCUUUGAAUGUUUAUUUUCACAUUUCAUGACGCCAUCCUGACCCAAACAAAAAAAGAUUAUGAUCAGAUAUUGUUUAUAUCAUAUAAAAGUGAUUUAUCCAUACUCAAUUAACAUAGCGUUGUCUUGUUUUUGCCCAUUAUUGAUUGAUGCAGGAUAUUUUAUUACGUUAAAACAUGUUGUGGAUUGAAAUUAUUUGAAAAAAAAUAAAAAGGAAACUUUUUGGAAGUUUGCAUUUCACAAGUUGUAAAUGCAGCCACGACUGAAAUCACAUUCUUCUCAUAGUGCAAUACUCAUAACAGUCUGGUCUUUAUCCGUCACUAUGCAGAAUUACACAUUGUUUAAAUAUGUGGGAACAGAAGCUGUGUGAGAAACCGAAUUAACUAUUUAUUAACCUACAUUAUCUCCAGGUGAAUCUCCUU
ensembl:lncRNA